GCUGGGUGUGGUGGCGGGCACCUGUAGUCCCAGCUACUCAGGAGGCUGAGGCAGGAGAACUGCUUGAGCCUAGGAGUUCUUGGCUCCAGUGAGCUAUGCUCACACCAGCCUGGGUGACAGAGCAAGACCCUGUCUCUA
rnacentral:SRP_RNA from 1 species